UGGGCGAAAGCCUGACGGAGCAAUGCCGCGUGGAGGUGGAAGGCCUACGGGUCGUCAACUUCUUUUCUCGGAGAAGAAACAAUGACGGUAUCUGAGGAAUAAGCAUCGGCUAACUCUGUGCCAGCAGCCGCGGUAAGACAGAGGUUGCAAGCGUUAUCCGGAAUGAUUGGGCGUAAAGCGUCUGUAGGUGGCUUUUCAAGUCCGCCGUCAAAUCCCAGGGCUCAACCCUGGACAGGCGGUGGAAAC
rnacentral:ncRNA from 1 species